rnacentral:lncRNA from 1 species
CGCAGCUCUCUUUGCGAAGGCUGCCAUCGUGUGUGAAUACAUCUCUCUAGGAGCCAACUGGAGCCCAGGGCCAAGAGCAGAGCCUGAUUCAGAAGGAACCGGGGGCUAGGAGGAGUGGAUCAGCGUUCCUGCCAGCUGGAUUCCAGGCAGACAACCAUCUCUCGGAGAAAAGCACCGUUACACUGCUGGUCUGCUUCUGCAUGUGGGUACGGAUUGGUAUGUGGGAGAAAUCCCACUUGGAAGUGGUGCCUUUCUGGAACGGGUGCUUUUUUAGCAUAGGAAUUCUGCUUUGAGCCAGCUUCCUGUUGCUGCUGCCUUAUAUAGAAAUGUUU